CAUUACGGUGAGCUGGGCAGGGCAGCUUCCGGGCUGGCCGAUACCUGUGGGUCGGUAGUGCUAACCUUGUUCAGUUCACCACCCUU
rnacentral:antisense_RNA from 3 species